rnacentral:rRNA from 1 species
GUGGGGAAUCUUCCGCAAUGGACGAAAGUCUGACGGAGCAACGCCGCGUGAGUGAUGACGGCCUUCGGGUUGUAAAGCUCUGUUAAUCGGGACGAAUGGCUACCAUGCGAAUAGUGUGGAAGUUUGACGGUACCGGAAUAGAAAGCCACGGCUAACUACGUGCCAGCAGCCGCGGUAAUACGUAGGUGGCAAGCGUUGUCCGGAAUUAUUGGGCGUAAAGCGCGCGCAGGCGGAUCUGCCAGUCUGUCUUAAAAGUUCGGGGCUCAACCCCGUGAUGGGAUGGAAACUACAGAUCUAGAGUAUCGGAGGGGAAAGUGGAAUUCCUAGUGUAGCGGUGAAAUGCGUAGAUAUUAGGAGGAACACCAGUGGCGAAGGCGACUUUCUGGACGAUCACUGACGCUGAGGCGCGAAAGCCAGGGGAGCGAACGGGA